UACGGGGGGAGCAAGCGUUGUUCGGAUUUACUGGGCGUAAAGGGCGCGUAGGCGGUCAGCACAAGUCAGUUGUGAAAUCUCCGAGCUUAACUCGGAAAGGUCAACUGAUACUGUGCGACUAGAGUGCGGAAGGGGCAACUGGAAUUCUUGGUGUAGCGGUGAAAUGCGCAGAUAUCAGGAGGAACACCAAUGGCGAAGGCAGAUCUCUGGGCCGUAACUGACGCUGAGGAGCGAAAGCUAGGGGAGCGAACGGG
rnacentral:rRNA from 1 species